rnacentral:lncRNA from 1 species
ACAGAGCUACAAGCUACAUGUCCCUGGCCCCUCUCCCUAGGAGCACAGAGUUCCAGUGAAGAACCUAAAGCACAAACACUGACAGCUGUAAGAUGAGGAAACAGAAGCUGGGAUAUGUGAGUAAACAUUUCCAAGGUCCUGCAGCUAAUCAAUGGUUGACAACUUCUUUCCUCUGCCUAUGUUGCCAUCCAUGUCAUGGUUUGUGUCAAGACUCUAGGAGAAGUCUACCAUCAGCACCACAGCUACUGUGCACAAAUCCAGAAUGCCAGACUGAAGUCAGAAGGAAAGAGAUGAUGCAGCUCAUUGCUGAUGCUGAGAUCCAACGUCCAGUGCCUGAGUACCCCUGGAUUCUGAGCACUAGGGGCUGGACUGUGGAGACCAUCAGUUCAUAACAUCCUGUCCCUGCUCCCUGCUGUAGAUGACUGAGACCAGGAAAAAAAGCAUCUCUCUGAAGUUAAAUGGCAUUUCAUUUUGAUUAAUUGUAGAAAGAAGAUUGGAAAAAUCUCCCAUGACCAAGGAAAAUUGUGAAAAAUAUUUCUGAUAUUUUGUCUAUGCAUUUUAUUUUUGAGGGUGUUUUUUAUAUUAGUGUGACUAUUUUGUAUUUCCUACCCUGUUGUAAACUUUUUAAAAAUUGCUCUUACAGUUAUUACUAAGUAUAUGAUUUAAAAUCCCUAAUUAGGGUUCUUAAACAAGGGAGAAGCACUCUCAUACCCCUAGAACAAGAUGAACAAAAGAAGGAGGAAAAAUCUUGACCUCCGUAAGAUCCAGGAUGGCACGUGCAAGGCACUGACACAGCAUCUGCCGGCAUCACUGACUCUCCUGGACCCCAGAAGCCCAGUUCCCCAGGCUCUGAAACCCUGCAGCAAUGAAAAGGAAGCACAGGCAAACCAUAAGGAAGAUAAUUUUUCUACUAAAAAAUAAAUAGAAAUGCAUCCUUAGAGGCAGGUUUCAUGAGGACACAGAGAAUCCGGUUUUGUGUGUGCCUGAUUUCGUUUUUCUGUCAAAGAGAUACAAAACAAUCAACUGAGUUAUCUUGAACUUACAAAGAUUAAAAAUAAUCAAUUCCUGUUACUAUUUUCAAUUUUUCCCCCAUUUUACUUCUUUAGGUAUGAAGAAAUGUAGCCUAUUAAAACCUGGAUUAAUAAAAACCUUUCAUUAACUUUUAGAA